GAUGAACGCUAGCUACAGGCUUAACACAUGCAAGUCGAGGGGUAGCAGGGUAGCAAUACCGCUGGCGACCGGCGCACGGGUGAGUAACACGUAUCCAACCUUCCCAUAACUCGGGGAUAGCCUUUCGAAAGAAAGAUUAAUACCCGAUAGUACUUUAUUAAGGCAUCUUAAGAAAGUUAAAGAUUUAUUGGUUAUGGAUGGGGAUGCGUUCCAUUAGAUAGUUGGUGAGGUAACGGCUCACCAAGUCUUCGAUGGAUAGGGGUUCUGAGAGGAAGGUCCCCCACAUUGGUACUGAGACACGGACCAAACUCCUACGGGAGGCAGCAGUGAGGAAUAUUGGUCAAUGGGCGAGAGCCUGAACCAGCCAAGUAGCGUGAAGGAUGAAGGUCCUAUGGAUUGUAAACUUCUUUUAUAGUAGAAUAAAGUGAACCACGUGUGGUUUUUUGUAUGUAUACUAUGAAUAAGGAUCGGCUAACUCCGUGCCAGCAGCCGCAGUAA
rnacentral:rRNA from 1 species